UACGAAGGGGGCUAGCGUUGCUCGGAAUCACUGGGCGUAAAGGGUGCGUAGGCGGGUCUUUAAGUCCGAGGUGAAAUCCUGGAGCUCAACUCCAGAACUGCCUUUGAUACUGAGGAUCUUGAGUACGGGAGAGGUGAGUGGAACUGCGAGUGUAGAGGUGAAAUUCGUAGAUAUUCGCAAGAACACCAGUGGCGAAGGCGGCUCACUGGCCCGUUACUGACGCUGAGGCACGAAAGCGUGGGGAGCAAACAGG
rnacentral:rRNA from 1 species